rnacentral:lncRNA from 1 species
UGGCCAGAUACAUUUGCAAUAGCUUUUAGACUUACUAUAAGGUUUUAGACAUACCUAAAAGGUGUUAGAGCAGUUGAAUAAAAUCAGAAAGAAGUUCCUAUUAAAAAAGAAGUGCAGCUUCCACAAAUAACACCUGAUAAAAUUGAGCUAUGUUACACAACCUAAGUGUAAUGGAGGUUUAUGGAUUAAGCUUUUAGUGAUCCACAACAAGUGUUUGCUCAUAAUGUUGCUAUGGAGG